AACGAACGCUGGCGGCAUGCCUAACACAUGCAAGUCGAACGAGACCUUCGGGUCUAGUGGCGCACGGGUGCGUAACGCGUGGGAACCUGCCCUUAGGUUCGGAAUAACUCCCCGAAAGGGGUGCUAAUACCGGAUAAUGUCUUCGGACCAAAGAUUUAUCGCCUUUGGAUGGGCCCGCGUUGGAUUAGCUAGUUGGUAGGGUAAAAGCCUACCAAGGCGACGAUCCAUAGCUGGUCUGAGAGGAUGAUCAGCCACACUGGGACUGAGACACGGCCCAGACUCCUCGGGGAGGAGGGAGGGGGGAAUAUUGAAAAAGGGGAGAAGUCUUGAACCAGCAAGGCCGGGUGAGUAAUGAGGGCGGUAGGGUAAAAAAGCCUUUUAACCCGGGGUGAUAAUGACGGUACGGGAAGAAUAAGCCCCGGCUAACUCCGUG
rnacentral:rRNA from 1 species